UCCCUACUAGCUCAGCUGAUAAAGUAUCCACUUGCAAUGCAGGAGAUCUGGGUUCGAUCCCUAGGUUGGGAA
rfam:TPA: Bos taurus chromosome 8, whole genome shotgun sequence.